AUGACUUGAGAAUCCCAAUGAUCGUCCAACAAGAGGAUCUCUCUGAGUGGGAUGGAUUUAAUGCAGACACGUUUUUCAGCGACAACAACAAUAACAACAACCUUAACGUGCAUCAACUAACGCGUUACGGAGAUGAUUAUCGGAAUGCAGGUUAUAACGGAGGGAAUUUUGAAGGCGUGCAUCCCUAUCAAGAAUUAAUAAUGCAAGAGAACCGCAACGAUCACAUGCCAAAGAAACCUUUGACAGGGACCAUUGAUUAUAGCAGCGAUAGUAGCAGUGAUGCUGGAUCGAUAUCUACAACGGUAACACACAUCACUCAUUUUAUUUAUCAUUACUUCCAUGAAGUAUUCUGUAUUCUCAGCUAUCUAUUCUAACCUGACAGAGUUACCAAGGAAUAUCAAGUCCAAAUAAUAGUGUUGGUAGUUCAAGCAGACGCUUGUCAAGUUGCUCAAGCACAGACUCUUGCAAAGAUCUACAAACUUGUGCAGAUCCUUCAAUCAGUAGAGAGACCCGGGAAUAUCAAUUCACACAACGCACUGUACCAUCAAAACAAGAGGUCUUGAGUUGCUCUUAUGUAGAUUUUGUUGCUACUUGUUUGUAUCUUAUAAUCUCAAACAUAUGUUGGAUUUCCUUUUCAGGUGAAACAAGAGAUUCCAAGAGAUGUUGAUGCAUCCAUGAACAAUGAGUCAUCUUUGGUGAAAACAGAGGAGAAGUGCUUGUUUAUUCCAGAGGACGCAAUGGAGAGAAACCGCAAGACACCACGGUUUAUCUAUCUGAUGAUCAUAGGCUUCAUUCGUCGUAUCGGUUUUACUACCCGUCAAAGCUUGAACCCGCUGAAGAAGUUUUGAUCACGAGAGCAGAUCAAAUAUGGCAUUUUUUAAUCCUGCUUUCUUCUGAAUGUUUGAAACUUGAUUGUUCUCAACCUGAAUAUCUUACAGGUCUUUCUUGUGCCUAAAGUCAAAUGUAUAGUAGAGUUUGUAAUCUCAUUUCUGAAAACAGAGAAAGAUUAAGCAAGAGUGUAUUAAGAUCCUACAUAUUUAUCUUUAUGGAACAUAUGAUCAUAGGUGGAUUAGACAGUAGAAUCUCAAAAUUCUAUACAAUCUUUAUGAACAUGAUCGUAGGUUGACAGUAAAACAGAAACAAAAAAAAAACACAUGAUCAUAGGUUAUAUAGCUUUAUGUUGGUCAAGAGUUGAUGAUGGGAGCAAUUUGGUUUAACAUUUUGGUAUGUAGAUAAUUGGUUUUAGUUCUAUGCUUUUUCCUCUGCAUUUCAAAUAAUUUUUAAAUUUCUCUAACAAUUUUAAAUUGUGAUGUAAAAUCCGUUUCCUGUCGUCUGUCGACGUCGUAACUAGAGAGACUAUGUUGACAGAAAGCAACAACUUGAGUAGGAAGUUUCCAACAACUUUUAUGAACUUGCCACGUUUCCAAUUAGGAACAAAAAGAGAUCGAAAAAGUUAUAUAAUUAUUGUUUUCUUAUAAUUAAUUAACCUUUUGAUCAUUGGAUAAUUGUUAGUUUGUUACUUAUGCGUGUGGAGUUUGUGUGGAGUUUGAGUUAUCUUAAUGCGUCUAAAAAGUUAAAAGUUCGCAUUAUAAAAGUUUGAAAUGUGAGAGAUGUAUCUGUAUUUAGUAUAUACUAUCUCUAUAUAAAGAUACUAGAUCAUAUGGUGUUUAAGAAGUUUAGUUUAAUUAUCAAAAACACAAGUGAUAAAAUUGUCAGCCAUUUUACAAAUUUCAGCUUUAGUCUAAAUUUUGGUAUAUGAAGAUUAACCCGUUUAUUAAAUAAUCAACCUCGUGUCUCUAAACAUUAUGGGUAUGACUGAUAAUUACUUUAGAGUAAAAUAUUUUUAGAUAGAAAAAUACUUUACUUUAGGUUCUUUCAUUUUUUUACCAAUCAAAUGAAAAGCAGCAAAUAAAUUUUUUUAACUCAUUUUAGCUAUAAAAAAAAGAAAUUUUUUUUAAAAAAGAAGUUUAGACUCGAUUUUUUUGGCAAAACAAAUUUCACUAAAAGAAUACAAAUGAACAAAAGAAAGUGAAGUAAUAGAGUCUCAAUCACUUGGGACUUUAAAUUUAAGUUAGAGAAAUUGAAGCAAAAUCGCAAUAUAUUCAUUGUGUAAACUUUUUGAAGAAUUUACUUAUAGUAUAACUCAAUGUAUAAAUAUCAUUUAACUCAAACCACAUAUUUCAUCAGUUCAUGUGCCGACCACUAAGCCAGUGGGAUCCACAAGACUUUUAAUUUAUUUUAGUGAGAAAAUUACCAUUUUUUUCUGUGAGAAUGCGUAAAACAUAAGCCUUAAAAAGUAAAAAAUAAGUUUAUUCGACAAUUUAAAUACCCUUCUCUGUUUCUUCUCUUCCCCCUAAGAAAAAAAAAACAGAGCCUUUGAGAAAAAAAAAGAAACCUUUGAGAAAAAACUUCAUCUUCUUGAUUUUAGAGUGAAGAUGGAGCAAAAACCAGGAUUUGGAUUUCGACCAACGGAUGAGGAGCUGAUAAGUUAUUAUCUGAAGAACAAGAUUUUGGGAAACACAUGGCUCGUCGACGACACUAUAAACGAGAUCAACAUACUAAAUCACCAUCCCUCUUCUUUUUCAUGUAACUCACUACUUUCUUCACUUCGAUUUCAUCGAUCGUUUAAAAAAAGUUUUGAAUUUGUUGUUUGUUUUGAUUUUUUUUUGUGGGUUUUCUGUAGCGUUGUCGAAGAUCAAAUCGAACGAUCGUGUAUACUACUUCUUUGCUCGUAAACAGUACAAGACCGCGAAGAAGAGGAAGAGAAGUAUCAAAUCUUGGAAAUGGAAAGUUGGUGGUCUAGUUACGAAAAUUAAAGAUGAGAGUGGAAACAAGAUAGGGAAAAAACGAGGUAUUUUGUUCGAUGACCUUGAUGCUCCUAAAGCCAAAGGGGAGAAGAGUUCUUGGGUUAUCCAUGAGUAUCAGAUCACUUCCUUGCCUCAUCCUAAUCUGGUACUUUCAUUUUUCUUACAUAAGCUUCUCUCUUGUUCAAAUGAUUUUGGGGUUGUUUUGGAAUGAUAGUCAUGUUGAGAUUUUUCAGUGUUAAAAGAGUAUCCAUUUUUUUGUGAAAUUUUUUUUAGAGUUAUAGAAAAAUAUUGACUUUUUUUAGAGAACCAGGCUUAAUUAUUUAUUCUGCCAAAGUUUGUGUGUGUGUGUGUGUGUAAUUGAAAAUAUGAAUUUGUGAGGUUUUGAUAUUUUUCAGGAUUCCUAUGUUCUCUACAAAAUAUUUGAUAACAAUAGUAAAAAGAAGGCAGACAUUUCAAAUGGUAAUAGCUCAAGUGAUCCAAGUCAAUCUUUGGUUUUCGAUAUGAAUACAAUCAGAGUGACUACUAGCAUACCACCAGAGGUGAGUCCUGUUUCUGUAGUAAAGUAUAAGGGUGAAGCUGCAGACAUUUCAUAUGAGCCAAGUCGCUCCGAUUCGAAUACUACCAGAGCGAUUAACAGAGCGGCUGAGCCUGAGGUGAAUCCAGUUUCAGAGAUGUUUCAUUACUAUCGACUUGUGUGUUUACUUUGUUGUUGUUGUUGUUGUUGUUUCUUUUUACAGCUUCAGGUUGAGCAGCCAGGUAGAGAAAAUUUCUUGGGUAUGUCUUUAGAUGAUUUGGAACAAGAGGAUCCAAAAACUUGCUUGCAGCCACAAGGUCCUCACUUAGCCUUGAAUGAUGAUGAGUUUAUCCGUGGAUUGAGGCAUGUUGAUCGAGAACAAGUUGAAUAUUUGUUCGCCAAUGAAGAAAACAUUGAUGGUUUGUCUAUGAAUGACUUGAGAAUCCCAAUGAUCGUCCAACAAGAGGAUCUCUCUGAGUGGGAUGGAUUUAAUGCAGACACGUUUUUCAGCGACAACAACAAUAACAACAACCUUAACGUGCAUCAACUAACGCGUUACGGAGAUGAUUAUCGGAAUGCAGGUUAUAACGGAGGGAAUUUUGAAGGCGUGCAUCCCUAUCAAGAAUUAAUA
rnacentral:lncRNA from 1 species